rnacentral:miRNA from 1 species
CAAAAAAGUUCAUUUGGGUUUUUCUGUAAUAUUUUAGGAAAACCCAAAUGAAAUUUUUGGCCAACACA